UACAGAGGGGGCAAGCGUUGUUCGGAAUUACUGGGCGUAAAGGGCGCGUAGGCGGCCUGUUAAGUCGGACGUGAAAUCCCUCGGCUUAACCGGGGAACUGCGUCUGAUACUGGAUGGCUUGAGUUUGGGAGAGGGACGCGGAAUUCCAGGUGUAGCGGUGAAAUGCGUAGAUAUCUGGAGGAACACCGGUGGCGAAGGCGGCGUCCUGGACCAACACUGACACUGAGGAGCGAAAGCCAGGGGAGCAAACGGG
rnacentral:rRNA from 1 species